AAUGCUUCUUGCUACCGCAUUUGAGUAAGAUUAUAACCUGGAUGAGAGUGAGUCGGUUGAUACUCAAGGCUGAGGAGAUUAUAGUGGGCUGGAGGAAGCCACAGGAGGACAUGGCUGAGAUUACAUCUCCUGAUUGAGGGACCAAGCUUCCAUGCUGAACAAGACAGCGGGUGUAACCCUAAUAACUCCACUGUCUAAUAGAUGCUCAAUCCUGGCAACUUGUGAACAGUAAGAAAUCCAGAUAUAAAAGAAUCAAGGCAACAAAAAAUAACUAUUGUCACAAUAUCACAACGGAGGAUCAUACCAGACAAGAAGGAAUCUUCAUACAAAGCAGGCAGGAGUAAGAGUUGUCUCUUUUGUAGCCAAAGAGAUCAGAGAGUGGACAUAGGAAAUAUUGCAUUUGCUUGAGUGCACCACCUCUCAAACUGCAGAGACAGCAUUCCUAAAGAAAAAAAGUAUAAACAAGUAUCUACUAUAGGGUUUCUUGCAUCUUCUUCUGGGGCAUUGUCAAGGUCAGACACAGAAGGCGGGACUCUCACCUCCACUCCAGCACCUUUACACCAGAUGAAGAUAACAAUUCCCGGAAUAUUUGAUGUUCUGAUAUAAAGUUUUACCCUAACAAUUCUGAAGACUACAUAUAAAACUGUUCUGAAUAGACUCAGUAUAUGUUGCUUGCUACUCAAAAACCAUACUAAAGCAAAUAAGGCAAAAUUGUAAAUCACAACUUCUUUAAAUUGAGUGAUUAGUUUAUUUACUUGCAUGAACCUGUACACAACACUUUGCACAGGAUAUUAGAAGACUUGUUCCAUCCUCUUCAA